AUUAGUCUCGUAGGUGACCUGCGGAGGGAUCAUUACAAGUUGACCCCGGCCCUCGGGCCGGGAUGUUCACAACCCUUUGUUGUCCGACUCUGUUGCCUCCGGGGCGACCCUGCCUCCGGGCGGGGGCCCCGGGUGGACAUUUCAAACUCUUGCGUAACUUUGCAGUCUGAGUAAAUUUAAUUAAUAAAUUAAAACUUUCAACAACGGAUCUCUUGGUUCUGGCAUCGAUGAAGAACGCAGCGAAAUGCGAUAAGUAAUGUGAAUUGCAGAAUUCAGUGAAUCAUCGAAUCUUUGAACGCACAUUGCGCCCCCUGGUAUUCCGGGGGGCAUGCCUGUUCGAGCGUCAUUUCACCACUCAAGCCUCGCUUGGUAUUGGGCGACGCGGUCCGCCGCGCGCCUCAAAUCGACCGGCUGGGUCUUUCGUCCCCUCAGCGUUGUGGAAACUAUUCGCUAAAGGGUGCCGCGGGAGGCCACGCCGUAAAACAACCCCAUUUCUAAGGUUGACCUCGGAUCAGGUAGGGAUACCCGCUGAACUUAAGCAUAUCAUAG
rnacentral:rRNA from 1 species